rnacentral:lncRNA from 1 species
CCGGGGUCGUGGUCCGUGACCGGAUCGUGAUCGGGUUCCGUGACCGGACUAGGGUCGUGACCCGUGAACUUCCGUGGUUGUGACCGGUGACCGGACCGGGGUCGUGAAUCAUGACCUUCCGUGGUUGUGACCAGUGACGAGACUGAGAUUGUGGCCCGUGACCUGAGUGUGGUUGUGACCGUGACCGGACCGGGCCGGAUGACCUCGGCCAGCCCGCGGCGCUAUCUGACGUACCCGUGGAGAGUGAGGGACAUACGACUCUGGAACCAGCGCAACCUUUCCAUCGCCGCCGCGUCUUCUGCGGCCGUUCCGCGUCAGCCGACCGCGACACGAGCGCAGCAGAAGACAUACGGACAGGGCUCGGAUGAGCACCGCACGACACUGUGUGGAGAGAGCCGAAGCUCGCACAGCAAACCUGCGCCCACCAGCCGCCGCCAGUUGCCAGCAUCCGACGAG